AUUGAACGCUGGCGGCAGGCCUAACACAUGCAAGUCGAGCGAGCGGCGGACGGGUGAGUAAUGUAUGGGGAUCUGCCCGAUGGAGGGGGAUAACUACUGGAAACGGUGGCUAAUACCGCAUACUAUCGGAUGAACCCAUAUGGGAUUAGCUAGUAGGUGGGGUAAAGGCUCACCUAGGCGACGAUCUCUAGCUGGUCUGAGAGGAUGAUCAGCAAAACUGGUACUGAGACACGGCCCAGACGUCUACGGGAGGCAGCAGUGGGGAAGAUUGGACAAUGGGCGCAAGCCUGAUGCAGCCAUGACGCGUGUAUGAAGAAGGCCUUAGGGUUGGAAAGUACUUUCAGCGGGGAGGCGUUACCCGCAGAAGAAGCACCGGCUAACUCCGUGCCAGCAGCCGCGGUAAUAC
rnacentral:rRNA from 1 species